CAGUAGCCGCGGUAAUACGGAGGGUGCAAGCGUUAAUCGGAAUUACUGGGCGUAAAGCGCACGCAGGCGGUCUGACAAGUCAGAUGUGAAAUCCCCGGGCUUAACCUGGGAACUGCAUUUGAAACUGUCAGGCUGGAGUCUUGUAGAGGGGGGUAGAAUUCCAGGUGUAGCGGUGAAAUGCGUAGAGAUCUGGAGGAAUACCGGUGGCGAAGGCGGCCCCCUGGACAAAGACUGACGCUCAGGUGCGAAAGCGUGGGGAGCAAACAGGAUUAGAUACCCCUGUAAUCCCUGUCUCUUAUAA
rnacentral:rRNA from 1 species